rfam:Oryza barthii chromosome 1, whole genome shotgun sequence.
UAUAAGUACAGUUGUGGUUUUCCGUGUCUAACGUUUGACCGUCCGUCUUAUUUAAAAAAUAUUUAUGACAAGUAUUUUUAUUGUUAUUAGAUGAUAAAACAUGAGUAGUACUUGUUGUGUGACUAUUUUUUUAAUUUUUCAUAAUUUUUUUCAAAUAAGAUGGACGGUCAAACGUUAGACAUGAAAACUCGCAAGUUGAGGCUUAUG